rnacentral:lncRNA from 1 species
UGUCCAAAUUGAGCAAAAAAAAAAUUUACAUUUUUACAUACUUAACAAAUCGAUAAUUUAUUAAAUUUGCACCACUGUAAUUGCUAGGAUUCUUUCUUUUUUUUUUAACUCUUUCGAGGCCCGUGUUGCCUUAUCUCUGUAGCUUAGUUCACUUUUUCAAUGAAUGAAGCAGGUAGCGUGCUAUCUAUUCCCAAAAAAAAAAAAAAAAAA